rnacentral:misc_RNA from 1 species
GAUGAAGAACGUAGCGAAAUGCGAUAAGUAAUGUGAAUUGCAGAAUUCAGUGAAUCAUCGAAUCUUUGAACGCACAUUGCGCCCCUUGGUAUUCCGAGGGGCAUGCCUGUUCGAGCGUCAUUAUAACCCCUCAAGCUCAGCUUGGUGUUGGGGCCUGCUGCAUUGGCAGCCCUUAAAAUCAGUGGCGGCGCCAUCUGGCUCUAAGCGUAGUAAUUCUUCUCGCUAUGGAGUCCUGGUGGAUGCUUGCCAUCAACCCCCAAUUUUUCUAUGGUUGACCUCGGAUCAGGUAGGGAUACCCGCUGAACUUAAGCAUAUCAAUAAGCGGAGGA